rnacentral:rRNA from 1 species
UACGGGGGGAGCUAGCGUUAUUCGGAAUUACUGGGCGUAAAGGGCGCGUAGGCGGUCAGCACAAGUCAGUUGUGAAAUCUCCGAGCUUAACUCGGAAAGGUCAACUGAUACUGUGCGACUAGAGUGCGGAAGGGGCAACUGGAAUUCUUGGUGUAGCGGUGAAAUGCGUAGAUAUCAAGAGGAACACCUGCGGCGAAGGCGGGUUGCUGGGCCGACACUGACGCUGAGGCGCGAAAGCUAGGGGAGCGAACGGG